rnacentral:lncRNA from 1 species
AGACCUUCGGAAAGUUGGAAAACGGCAACAGCUCAUCCUCCCCUCUUCUCUGUCUCCCUCCAAGGGGUCAGGACGGGAGACACCUUCAGAAGUGUGCCCAGCAUCGUUGGGUUCUAAUACCAAGGAAGUGAGGUCGCAUCCUCAAAGUUCCUCUACAGUUAGGGUCCUUGAUGGAUACCCAACAUGCAGACUGUGACGGUACUGGAGCCUUAACUGCCUUUUCCACUUCUGCCGUCUCUUCACUGGAUGGUGGAGUUUUCCAGAGGCUCCAUGAUAUAUGGGGCAAAGUGAAACCACAACAAACAAAACCAGAAGCUAAGCAACAAGGUCCAUGGAUGGGGAGAUGUGGAAAAGAAUGUUUCUAGGUAUAAAGAAAAAGCUGAGACCAGCAUUUCAGAAUGACAGCCAUGACUAACAGCAGUCUGCAAUUUCUGUCCUAUGUGGCUCUUUGAACUUGGAGCCUGAGCCAAACACAUGAAAUAAAGGAGCUGCAGAUGACAACUCAGGACAUGAG